GGAGAUUUAGUUCAGUGGUAGAGCGCUUGCCUAGCUCGCGCAAGGCCCUGGGUUCGAUCCCCAGCUCUG
rnacentral:tRNA from 1 species